UUAGUAACGGCGAGCGAAGUGGGAACCAGCCCAGGUCUGAAAUCUCCCGGUUGGCUAUUGUCAUGGCCGGGCGAAUUGUGGUCUGGAGAGGCAGACUGUCCCGAUCCACCGCCUACGAGCCCGAAGUUGACUUGGAACGGCACGCCACAGAGGGUGAGAGCCCCGUAGGGCAUACAAAUCGUGUGCGGCGGGACGAGGGUCUGUUCUCGUAGAGUCGGGUUGUUUGGGAAUGCAGCCCAAAGUGGGUGGUAGACUCCAUCCAAGGCUAAAUACGGGCGCGAGACCGAUAGCUGACAAGUACCGUGAGGGAAAGGUGAAAAGCACUUUGAAGAGAGAGUUCAAUAGACCGUGAAACCGUUGGGAGGGAAGCUCAGGGUGUCGAGGUUGUCAUGCUUCGUUGCUGGGUUCAUCCGGUGGCCAGCCACUGGUGCAUUCUCAGUCGAAGUUGGACCGUCAGUCGGGAAGAGCCUGUGACCUGCUUAUCGUCUUGGGGAGGUAGGCCUUGCGGUUUGCUUCGGGCUCCAGGUCACGUAUAGCCUUUCGUCGUGGUCUCAGUCGUCUUUCAGGUGUGUUGGAUGGCCGUUCGUCCAUAAUCGGUAGGUGCAGUCUCCCCUUGUGGGAGAUCGGGCUUCCCUGCGUUGCCUCGUGUCUGGA
rnacentral:rRNA from 1 species